rnacentral:lncRNA from 1 species
AGCCAUAAUUGCCCUGCAAUGGAUCAUGGAUCCCAGGCUGCUUCUGGACAGGCUCCAGACUCACUGGAGACAUCCUGACACAUAAUGCUUCGCCCAGCACAAUGCGAUGCCCUUUACCUAGUAAAAGGGUGAGUCCCGUAAAGGUGCUGCCUUCCCCCCAGAACAAACAAGGGAAAUGCAUCAGGAGAGCUCAGCUGCAGACAGAAUGCACAUCAUGAAGCAGGAGCCACCCUGGGAUUCCUCAGAUGAAAGCCAAUUUCAAUGAACAUUGUGUUUCAAAGCCCGCUUCCUCUUGCUCGGUUGUCUGCCAACGCUAACUGGCCAGCUCUGACAGGAGGUGCGUGGCCCAGGAGGAGCCAUCAGGCCAGUUCUCUGGGAUACUGCUGUGUCUCCAGCUCUGCAGUUUGCUCUUCGUCACUCAGCGGCAGACGGAGAGGCAGACACGAGCCCCUUGUGAGCCCUCCUCCUUACCGUCAUCUCACAAUGCUCUGAAAUAAGGAGGCAAAUGGCUGAGGUCCCCUCAGUUGUAGAUGUGAUUGAGUUCUAUCUACCAGAAGCAUAUGCCUCCUGGAAGCCUGGUUCUAACACCUCCCACAAAAUCCUUCAAGCACUUUUUUCUGUUCCAAGGUUUGCUUAUGGGGGACCCAGUGAAGUGCUUCAGAGCCCUAGAGAUUUGCUGAGUCAUAUGAGGGGUCAGCAAACUUUUCCUGUAAAGGGUCAGAUAAUAAACAUUUUAAGCUU